rnacentral:lncRNA from 1 species
UCUCUCUCUCUCUCUCUCUCUCUCUCUCUCUCUCUCCUCACCACAAAUUCACAAAUUACAGUUUCUGUUAAAUAUAAAAAUAUAAAAUUAUCAUUCUCUAUGUGGUUUAAGUUUACAGAGAAAAUAAUUAUUUGGAUUUCUUAUUCCUAUCAGAACAAAAAAUUUUAGUUUCGAGCCCGGACGUAAAAAAAAGUGUUACAUAUAAAAAAUAUAAAAAUAUCAUUCUCUAUUGACUUAAAUUUUUGGAGAAAAUAAUUGUUUCACAUUAUUUAACAAUUACAAACUUUCUUUUAUCGUUUUUUGUGGUAAAAAUGUAAAGAAUUCAUCUGAACUAUAGAAUAUUCAGUCUACCGAAAUUUUGAUUUGAACGUCCAAUCUUUCAAUUUAUUUGAUAAUUUUUUUUGUCGUUGUUUAACUAAAAUCAAAUAGAUUAAAAGUUUAGGUAGCAAAGUAAAAUUUUUUAAAAGUUAAAUU